UACGAGGGGGGCAAGCGUUGUUCGGAAUUAUUGGGCGUAAAGGGUGCGUAGGCGGUUUGGUAAGUCUUAUGUGAAAUCUACAGGCUCAACUUGUAGUCUGCAUGAGAAACUGCCGGGCUUGAGUAUGGGAGAGGUGAGUGGAAUUCCUGGUGUAGCGGUGAAAUGCGUAGAUAUCAGGAGGAACACCUGUGGCGAAAGCGGCUCACUGGACCAUAACUGACGCUGAUGCACGAAAGCUAGGAGAGCAAACAGG
rnacentral:rRNA from 1 species